rnacentral:rRNA from 1 species
AGCAGCCGCGGUAAUUCCAGCUCCAAUAGCGUAUAUUAAAGUUGUUGCAGUUAAAAAGCUCGUAGUUGAAUUUCGGGGUUAGUAGGUUGGUCAUGCCUCUGGUAUGUACUGGUCUCACUGAUUCCUCCUUCCUGAUGAACCUUAAUGCCAUUAAUUUGGUGUUUUGGGGAAUUUGGACUGUUACUUUGAAAAAAUUAGAGUGUUUAAAGCAAGCUAACGCUUGAAUACAUUAGCAUGGAAUAAUGAAAUAGGACGUUCGAUCCUAUUUUGUUGGUUUCUAGGAUUGACGUAAUGAUUAAUAGGGAUAGUUGGGGGCAUUAGUAUUCAAUUGUCAGAGGUGAAAUUCUUGGAUUUAUUGAAGACUAACUACUGCGAAAGCAUUUGCCAAGGAUGUUUUCAUUAAUCAAGAACGAAAGUUAGGGGAUCAAAGACGAUCAGAUACCGUCGUAGUCUUAACCAUAAACUAUGCCGACUAGGGAUCGGAUGAUGUUAAUUUUUUAAUGACUC